GACGAACGCUGGCGGCGUGGAUUAGGCAUGCAAGUCGGACGGUAGAGCUUUAUCGUAAGAUAGAGUUUGAGAGUGGCGAACGGGUGAGUAACACGUAGGAAUCUACCCUUAAGACGGGGACAACCCAGGGAAACUUGGGCUAAUACCGGAUGAGAGUGCGAGAGAUUGCAUUUAAAAGGAUGGCGAAAGUUGUCGCUUAGGGAUGAGCCUGCGGUCUAUUAGUUAGUUGGUGAGGUAAGAGCUCACCAAGGCGAUGAUAGAUAGGCGGCCUUAACGGGUGGUCGCCCACACUGGGAUUGAGAUACGGCCCAGACUCCUACGGGAGGCAGCAGUCGAGAAUAGUCUACAAUGGUCGGAAGACUGAUAGUGCGACGCCGCGUGAACGAUGAAUCCCUUCGGGUGUAAAGUUCUUUUAUAUGUGAGCAGUGCUUCUAUAUUAACAGUAUGGGGAGAGUAGAUAUUAAGCAUAUGAAUAAGCAAACGGCUAAACUCCGUGCC
rnacentral:rRNA from 1 species